rnacentral:misc_RNA from 1 species
GUGAAUCAUCAAAUUUUUGAACGCAAAUUGCACUCUCCUCGGAGAGUAUGCCUGUUUGAGGGACAGCCUAAAAAAAAAAUCGACAUCGUUGCUGUUUCGCGGUGACGUUAGUUGGAAAUUUGGUCAUCUUUAACCUUUUUGUUUUUAAGCGGGUUAAAUUUUUCUUUUCGAUUCCGCGAACGUUUCUAUGAUUUUACUUAUUACUCGCUUCUGGUAUCGAUCUUUAUUAGACUUGGCCGUUGAA